CAGCAACCCUGAGAAAACUGAAGGAGGCAGGAUUGAAACUCAUGAAUAAAGGAGGCUUCAGAUGAUUCAAGACCAGGCCCUCCUCCCAAGAAAGUAGCGCAGGUGAAGACAUUCAUCACCCACAGAGACCCUGAGAGGCAACGAGGGAUCAGCAGUAACUAUGCUUGGACGAUAAUGGACACAGGCCAGCAAGUCCUGGGCAAAACCUGUGUGAUCACCUUGAUGGCAUCUAUUUAUCUAGGAGCCUGAAGCACGGUCAUGUAGCAGGUACUCUGAACAGAGCUGGCCUUCCCAGUAGCCCUCACCGCAAAGACUGGCACACCUGACCCUGGC
rnacentral:lncRNA from 1 species